rnacentral:lncRNA from 1 species
CCCUGUGUUUACUGUGAGUGUGGGAUUCACAUUUUCUCUCGGAGAACCAACCCCGGCACCCAUAUUUCUGAGUCCCCAUGCCUGGGGUCUGGAGAAGUCAAAGUCAUAAAGCAUUCUGUCAGCUAGGUGCACUCUCUGAUUUUUUUUUUCCAUUUGAAAAUCCUGCAGAUGUCACCGAUCGGCCACACAAGAGCUGUGACUCUCUAACUCCAAGUAAUGUGUAAUUAUAGCAACACAAGCAUAAAAUUACCAAGGACAAGGAGCUGCAGAGUAAUUAUAUGAUUCUUUGUUACUUGGAGCUUUUUUUUUCUUUUUGAGCUGAUCCUGUUAAAAGCACCCAUUUAGUGGGUGGGCAGAAAGAGCAGGUGGCAGAUGGGCAAGAGGACUACAGACACUGACUGGACGCGCGGCUUCCAGCCUUGCAAAGGCCCCACGGCUGACAUCAGAAGGGACCUUGGACUCGCCACCCGACCUCAGGCCAGAAGGACAACACAUUCUUUCUCUGACCACUGACCCAAGCGCGUCUGUACCUUUUUACGGAAGACGAAGCUGUUGGGUUUCCUUACCUUCCCCUCUCCUAGCCUUCCAAAAUGAUCAAGUCACAUUUUUCAUCGGAUUCUUUUUCCAUAUUUUCUAUUGGGACUCUGAAUGCUACUCAUGGGUGAGCCAAAUAAU